rnacentral:sRNA from 4 species
UAUUCUGCCCAUGCGGGAAGGAUGAGAAGCUUCGACUAAGGUUCGAUUCGAGCGUAGCGAGAAAGCGUUGCCGCAGGCAACGACCCGAAGGGCGAAGCGCGUAACGCUGAGUAAUCCUUCCCCCACCACCA